rnacentral:rRNA from 1 species
UACGGGGGGGGCAAGCGUUGUUCGGAAUUACUGGGCGUAAAGGGCGUGUAGGCGGCUUUUCAAGUCGGAUGUGAAAACUCAGGGCUCAACCCGGAGACGCCAUCCGAUACUGCGGUGACUGGAGUCUGGUAGGGGAACACGGAAUUCCUGGUGUAGCGGUGAAAUGCGCAGAUAUCAGGAGGAACACCGGUGGCGAAGGCGGGUCUCUGGGCCGAUACUGACGCUGAGGAGCGAAAGCGUGGGGAGCGAACAGG